CUCAGCGCCCGCUCGCCGCGGCUGUGGCGGCGCAGCGCCGCGCCGCCGCUUCCUCUCCGCCCGCGGGCUGUUAAUAACGGUUGCGGCGUGGGGUGGCCCCGCGGGGGGCUGCCGCGGGCUGGCCGGGCAGAGGAGCGAAGUUGAAGGCGGAGGGGUACCGCCACCCCCCCCGCCCCCAGCUCCGCAAAAUGACGGCCCGCAGGCCGCGCCGCGUGCUUUCGCUUACGGCCGCGGUGCAGCGCGCUUGUGUCCGCGCCCCGCGGGGCCCGAGGCCUUCGGUCCGUUAGAAACGUCUCUCCACAAGAAAAGGCGGGCAGGCCCUUUGUGUUCGCCGGUGCCCAGAAGUGGGAAACGGGAAUUAAGUGUCUCCGUAAGGCUGGAAAUCGCAGAGAGAUCAUCUGCACUCCAGUGCCAGCUCUUCUGCCCCAUCAACUCAUCCCUGUAACGUGCCUAGGGACUUACAUUACCUUAUUAACAGGAGCCUCUCCUGCUGCUGUUAUCUCCUAGGAAAAAGCAAGCCAGCAGUGUACUCAUCAUCCUCUUUGCCUGUACCACACUCAGUUGGCACCUGCAAACGGAUAUGAUUCAGUGAGAAUCUCCCACGAACCAGCCAUCACCUUGGCUGUCAUCAUGCCUGCAGCACCAUGGGCUGCUUCUGCGGAGCUCAGGGUUUGAGCUCCACUGCCCUUGUUUUGCUCAGUUCUCACCUUGUGUGGUAUUUUGAGUUGGCCAUUUUGUUGGCAAUGUCGAAGU